CCGAGAGCGGCCGGGUCGGCAGCGGGGCCCGGGGCUCCUCUUGGCCGGGCGGCUCCUGUCCCGCCGGCCCGUGUGGCAAAGACCACCAAACUGAUGUGGAGAGAUCUGUGACUAUGAGAGUAGCAGCCUCACGCAGAUACCUACAAGAGGGGACAUAUUUUGCAUCUUUUUACUCUACUGGCCUUACUGAGCCCAAAGCAGCUGAGCUGACUAAAGCAGUUUAAAAGUCAACCUACCUCAAGUGCUUCUUCAGCCUUUCAUAUAGAAAGUUACAUUGCUUCCAAUUUCUACAAUCAAGUCAAAAUAAACCAGAAAUGUCCCUGAAAUUUACUCACCCUGAAACCCAUGUCCAAAGGGCAAUUGGAUAUGGAGAGUUUAAGUCACACUUCACAGGAUUCUCAUGGAGCAUCUAUUUUUUGUCAUUGACUUGUCUCCAAGAGGUCACUGCUGCAAUACAGCCAAACCAGUCAUGAAAGUAAAAGGCUGAUUAU